ensembl:lncRNA
UGUUAGGUCUACCAACUUCCUUCUUGAAGGUGAUAGGAUUCUUAAUACAUUCUAAUCAACUGUAGUGGACCACAGACAGACAUCAGAGAGGUACCAGUGGAGAUGCAUAUCAAAGCAACUACUCAAUUACUAGUAAUCAUACAGUAGAUAUUACCAUUAGGAGUCAGGUAGAAAGGUAAUCAUACAGUAGAUAUUACCAUUAGGAGUCAGUUAGAAAUGUAAUCGUAAGUAAGUUAAUACUAUAAGUAAAAGUAAAAAUCAUAUGUAUUACAAUAAAAGGUCAGACUGAAUUAGUUGAUUAAUUGAUUGAUUGGGGUAAUCAUUGAUAUUUGGUACGGUUAGAUAAGAUGGCCGAGUACGUCAACAAACAG